UGCGAGUGAAGCGGCAAAAGCUCAAAUUUGAAAUCUAGGGCCUCACAGCCUUCGAAUUGUAAUUUCGCGAUACGUUUUCGACCGAGGGCUCCGCCUUAAGUUCCUUGGAACAGGACGUCACAGAGGGUGAGAAUCCCGUGAUAGGUGGAGGUCGAGGCAUAUGAUACGUAUUCAACGAGUCGAGUUGUUUGGGAAUGCAGCUCAAAAUGGGUGGUAAAUUUCAUCUAAAGCUAAAUAUUGGCGAGAGACCGAUAGCGCACAAGUAGAGUGAUCGAAAGAUGAAAAGCACUUUGAAAAGAGAGUUAAAAAGUACGUGAAAUUGUUGAAAGGGAAGCGCUUGAGACCAGAAUCAAUCUUUAGCGAUCAUUUGGCUUCGGCCAGGUGCUCUGGCUAUUUAUUGGGACAGCAUCGGUUUUGACGGUGGGAUAAAGUCUUGAGGAAUGUAGCUAUCGCAAGGUAGUGUUAUAGCCUCUUGAGAAAUGCCACCAGUUGGGACCGAGGCCCGC
rnacentral:rRNA from 1 species